rnacentral:rRNA from 1 species
GAUGAACGCUAGCUACAGGCUUAACACAUGCAAGUCGAGGGGCAGCACAGUGUAGCAAUACACGGGUGGCGACCGGCGCACGGGUGCGUAACGCGUAUCCAACCUUCCCGAUACUCAGGGAUAGCCUUCCGAAAGGGAGAUUAAUACCUGAUGGUGUUCAAAUUCCGCAUGUUAUUUGAACUAAAGAUUUAUCGGUAUCGGAUGGGGAUGCGUGACAUUAGAUAGUAGGCGGGGUAACGGCCCACCUAGUCUACGAUGUCUAGGGGUUCUGAGAGGAAGGUCCCCCACACUGGAACUGAGACACGGUCCAGACUCCUACGGGAGGCAGCAGUGAGGAAUAUUGGUCAAUGGUCGGAAGACUGAACCAGCCAAGUAGCGUGAAGGAUGAAGGUUCUAUGGAUUGUAAACUUCUUUUAUACGGGAAUAAAACCUCCCACGUGUGGGAGCUUGUAUGUACCGUAUGAAUAAGCAUCGGCUAACUCCGUGCCAGCCGCCGCGGUAAGAC